AACAAAGAUAAAUUCGUUAUUGGCAUUGCUGAUUUGAAGAUGGCUAAGAUGUCUUUCAUGCAAUAUUUUGCUUUAUUCCUUAUCAUUUCAGUUGUUUUAAUCACAAAUGAAAUUGUUGCACAUAAAAUAUGCGUGCAUGUGGCACAACCGAGCAACUGUGGCUUUGACGUGUGUAAAGUGCGAUGCGGACAGUUAUUCAAUGGCAAAUUGGCCGCUGCGGAAUGCAUUAUUAAGAGUAAUAGUACAUAUGGCGCUAACCAAUGUACUUGUUUCUAUCGGUGUUAACUUAUAAUUAUAUUAUUCAUGUACCCAAAAUUAUGAGUUAACAUUAUACAAAUAAGAUGGGCAAAAAUAUCACAA